rnacentral:rRNA from 1 species
AUACGGAAGGUCCGGGCGUUAUCCGGAUUUAUUGGGUUUAAAGGGAGCGCAGGCGGAGAUGCAAGCGUGACGUCAAAUUUCGGGGCUCAACCCCGUCUCGCGUCGCGAACUGCGUCCCUUGGUUGCGGGAAGGGGAGGCGGAACUCGUGGUGUAGCGGUGACAUGCAUAGAUAUCACGAAGAACUCCGAUCGCGAAGGCAGCCUUCCGGCCCGUCAACGACGCUCAUGCUCGAAGGGGCGGGUAUCAAACAGGAUUAGAUACCCUGGUAGUCCGCACAGUAAACGAUGGACACCCGCGGUUUGGCCUAUAUGGCUGAGCCGCCAAGCGAAAGCGUUAAGUGUCCCACCUGGGGAGUACGCCGGCAACGGUGAAACUCAAAUGAAUUGACGGGG